ACAAAUUAGCCGUCCUAUACCAAAUCAGAACAGAACAGGAAAAAUGAAGGCAAGAUUACAAGUUUAUGAACGUGCAUUAUAUGAAGAAAACCUAUGCUUCCGAAUCACGCUCAAAAUUAUAGAGUACAAAACCUGGCAAAGGGAAACAUAAUACCUUUCUUCAUUGCUAGACUACUAGGUCCAACAUGACAAGUCAGUACAAAAUAAUUUGAAAGGUCUAGCAGCAAGCGGUCUACAAAAGUUCAUCUCGUUUUAGAAAUGGGAACAUAUUGCAUUUCGUGAAUAAAAAAGGAACAAACUCAGCCUGAAGAAUGACAAGCCACAUAUGUUGCUGGUCCAAAUUGCUCAGGCUUAACCAGGGAAGCUAAUAUGUCCCACCGAAUAAUUGAACCCAAACAGGAGCCACAUAUUUGAUAUGAACUCCAUUCCGUCUUGUAUGUCAAUGGAGGAAAGAUUUGAUGUCCUUACAAAACCUCCACAUUCGAAGCCGCCGCUUGCACUGUUGCACAUGCUCCUAAAUGUCCAAGAGAUGCCAGCCGAAUAAUGCAUUUCCGAUAGGAAUAUUAUCUUCCAAUAAUUUGCGGGACUAGCAAUUCCUGGGCACCUUUCCUGCACCCAUAAGCCCACAAGUUGCUCCUCAGAUAUGCUUUUCUCUAGCCACUAUACACUGUUAUAUGCAUAUAAAAAAAUUUCCCAAUAACUUGUGGAUAUGCCUAUACUUCCCACCGUGAGAUGCCUGAUUCUUGCAGCCAAGCUAGUUGCUGCUCAACUCAGCUACCUUAAUCAGGACCGAACUGUUCUUUCCUCGUGGUUGAGUAGCAUUGUAUAUCUACGAAGAUGAAGUAGUGGACUCAAUCAGCUUUCCUCAGUAAGUGCCAUCAGGUAUUCAGGUUUGUGGACCAUGUAGGCAUCAACCUGUUACUACUUGUUAUGCAGGUGCAAGCCUGCAACACCGAUGCAGACUGUUCAGAGGAAGACACAAAACAAGAUCAGGAAGGGAACAUUCCUACAUUCUGAUGACAUGAAAGAAUUGUACACGCUUCGAAAGGCACCUUCACUAGUUAAAUUUCUCAUCUUACUUUACUAGCUACUACUAUCCACUUCUGAUAAUUUAUAUGGAAAAAUAACAUUAUGCAUUAGAAGCGAUCAACUUCCAUUACCACCAAAAUUAAUUUGAGUUAAGGAGACUAUUCCAUAGAUGCAAUUGACUCUCAAAUUUUCUUUGGUCCAUGACAGUGUCAGAGAUGGCAAUGGAGUGGGAGACUGGUGGGGAGGCAAGGCAGUAGCAGUGGUGGAAGAGAAUAAUUGACAAGUUUGACUGAUUGCUAUAUUAUAUUAUUAACAUCUUGUUUAUUGUGAUAAGUUUGGUUAAUUAUUUUUAACUUAACAGGUUUGACUCAUUUUUAAGUUCUAGCUAUUUACCAAGAUCAGUUCAAUCCAAUAUCCUAUAAAAAGGGAGUGUCCUACAAUCAUUUUUACAAUUCAGAGUUCCUACUUUGGGUGCGACAUGGAAGCCCUUAAUUCACUCUUUACUUUGGGUGCGAUAUGGAAGCCCUUAAUUCACCCUUUCUCAUCAUUUAGUUCAUUGGAUCCAACACAUAAUAAUUUUUGGGCAUUGUUAUUUCUACUGCACCAAAACACAAGGGAUACUUUCCAAGUAAACAUAAUUUCAACCAUUUUUCAACAUGCAGAGACUAUCAUACAACUGAGUGUAGAAAUGUUAAAUUCAAUAGAACAUAUAGAAACUAUUCCUGGUGAUGCUUUUGAAAGGAAUAGAUGCCACACCUUUAACUGAUGUGUCCGUAGAUAAUUGGCCCAGAGAAGAUUUUAUUAUCUGUCAUACAUCCAUCCAUGUCAGGUUCACUGACAGCACUGCUCCGAUGCUUACACCAAUUCCAACAUUCUUCCAUACAUGAGCAGGCCGCGUUGAAUCUGAUGCCAUGCAGCAGGACAUCACCUGCUUCAGAAUCUUAUGCCUACCCUUCAGGAAUUCAGCCCCAGAAAUGCACAAGUCUAACAGUCCUGCCAAAACACAGACCAUCAUUGAACUAUUGCCACAGCUGAUUAUUCUAACUUUGAUUGACACAUUAGCCAUAAGUAUGUAAACAUUUGCAAAGAACAAUAUUCGAGGACUAAUUUUUGACAAAUCUAGCAAUAUGGGUAUCAUUUCACCUAACUAAAUACUCCCUGCUUUGAUAAAUAUAUGACUGAAUUUGAUUUGGUAUGGCUUCCAAUGUUGAACUUUGUCCAUCAAAUUCUUUUCGAAUUAUCAACUACAAAAUUGACAUAAUGUGAAAACACUUAAUACGAAUUUAAUGGCACCACUUGUGUGCCCAUUAUAUCAUCAGAGGGAUCAUUUUAAAAUGGUGGUUGUAAGUUUGAAUAGUAUUGUCACCAGUGACAUGUUUCCAAUGUCAUCUCAACUAAUUGGCUUAACAGCUCCUCUCACACUCUUUUAUCCAACAUAACAAUCAUUUAAAGAGACAUAAAAUAGUGGUAUACAGAAAUACCAAGCGCUACAACAUUCAUGCCUUGCCACCUUGGUGCAGGCUUGGCUACCUUUUUUACCUCUCAAACUAGUUGUGGGAGUUAUCAUUGAAAUAAUUUGAGGAUGGAAAUGAAACAGCAGCAUCAGUGUAUGGGCAAGCUGAGAAAAAAUCAUUACGCCAAAAACCUAAACUUGAAUAAUUUUUUUUCCAAAAAAAAACUUCAUUUAUUUGUACCAGAGGAAUCACAAAACUGAAGAAUCCAUUAUAAUAGUUAAUUGGUCAAUGCAAUAACCAAACAUUACCAGAAAUUUCUCAGCCUGAAUCCCUGGUAUGCAAAUCAAUUAAAAUUCUUUGGCCACUGUAAAAGUUCAUUCUGGAGUCAUUAAUUUGGUCUGUUGUGGAUCUAAGUAGCCAAAGUAGACUGAACAUUUAGUACAGCCUGAAAUCCACUCCUUAAUGAUAGCUUAUGGUAGCAUCCAUCCAAAUCGAAGAUUCCAUGCAUAUAGAAAUGAUCUUCUUAAAACAUGUCCAUUAUCAUGCAACAUAUGAACCUGGCAAAACAAUACACCGUAAACUGCAAAAUCACUGACAGGUAGCUAGCAUUAUUUCAGAUGAUAUAUUCCAAUUCUCUAUCGACACCUACAUUAUUGACAAAAGCAUCUCGAUAUCUUAUGGAUUAAUAUUUCCAAUAAUUCUAUUCUCCUUACGUGACGCUAUGCUGGUUACACCACCCUUUCAUCUACUUGCAUGGUUGCACCACUAUCCUUAACCUCUCAACAGAGCUAUAUAUACCCUCCCUCCAUCCAUAAGACUACACACUUCCACAGCUCAACCAAAGCAUACAUCAGCUAGACCAGUGUUAUUGAUCUCUUCUGUGAAACCCUUAGAGCAAUUUCUUAAAAGAGACCGCAAGUUAGAGAAUGAAUGGAAAGAAGGGUAGUAUAAGGAUUGACAUUUGCCUGAAACCAAAAGAUGUGGUGCCAGAAGAUGCAAAGAAGCCAAUCAGUGAAGAAGGGCUUUCCCCAAGGAAAUGGCUACAUGAUGUCUGGGACUUCGCCAGACAGGAUACAAACAGGGUCACCUUUGCACUCAAGGUUGGCCUUGCUUGCCUCCUUGUGUCACUGCUCAUACUCUUCCGUGCACCCUAUGACAUCUUUGGGGCUAACAUCAUCUGGUCCAUCCUCACUGUUGCUAUAAUGUUCGAGUACACUGUUGGUACGUAUCAUUUCUAUGCAUGAAUAGCUAUUUAAGUCUGCUGAUUGUAACAUUAUGAACAUGUGGAUAUCCUAUAUUUCCAUAUGAACAUUAUUGAAGUAUGAGAAAAUAUUUAUGAUUGAAAAGUAUUGAUAAUGUUAUCCAUUUGCAGGUGCAACAUUCAAUCGCGGAUUCAAUCGAGCCGUCGGAAGUGUAUUUGCUGGAGUAUUUGCAGUAGUUGUUAUUCAGGUGGCUAUGUCUAGUGGCCAUAUUGCAGAACCAUACAUCAUUGGUUUCAGCAUAUUUCUCAUUGGUAUGCCUUAAAACUGACCAGUAUUCUACAUAUAGGCAAUCCAUGAUUUCACCCAUUUGUAUUAACAAGAUAAACAAGCUAGAGUUCUUUGCAUUAACUCAGUAUUUCUUAAAUAUUCUUAAUGUGAAAUAUGAUUGAUAUGUAGGUGCUGUAACAUCAUUUAUGAAGCUAUGGCCAUCACUAGUUCCAUAUGAAUAUGGUUUUCGAGUUAUCCUAUUCACAUAUUGCUUGAUCAUCGUAUCGGGCUACCGCAUGGGAAAUCCCAUCAGGACUGCAAUGGACAGACUCUACUCAAUUGCGAUCGGAGCCCUCAUAGCCGUUUUAGUAAAUGUCUUUAUCUGCCCAAUAUGGGCAGGGGAGCAACUGCACAGGGAGCUAGUUAACAGCUUCAACUCUCUCGCAGACUCCUUAGAAGGUAUUUUUCUCAGCAUCCUAGUCUUUGUGGUGAUUUCUUGUCGAUCACUGUUGAGAACAAUAAUAUAAUUCUUUUUCUAUCACAGAGUGUGUCAAGAAGUAUCUAAGUGAUGAUGGUUCCGAACAUCCAGAGUUCUCAAAGACAGUCAUGGAUAACUUCCCUGAUGAACCAGCAUUCAGGAAGUGCCGAGCUACGUUAAAUUCGUCAGCGAAGUUUGACUCUCUGGUAAAUUCUGAAUUUCAUAUGAUCAUUCUGCACUAUAAAUUUAUAAUCAACAACUUAACAGCUAAUAUUUUGCCAUUGAUAUGAUGAUUAAUUUUCUAGGCGAACUCUGCUAAAUGGGAACCACCACAUGGGAGAUUCAAGCACUUCUUUUACCCAUGGGCAGAGUAUGUGAAAGUUGGCAAUGUUCUUCGCCACUGUGCCUACGAGGUGAUGGCUUUGCAUGGUUGCGUGCACUCAGAGAUUCAGGUAUCAUCACACUUAUUCUGCCUGCAUCUUAUGUUCUUGUGCUAGACUUUACAUUCUGAUCCUUCACUGCCUAUCUACAGCUCCAUAUCUAAAUUCGUUAUUUCAAAUAAAUAAUUUUCAGACACAGUUUUUGAUGCAAACAUAAUAGAAUAGGAUAUAAGAAUUAUAUAACAAGGCAAGAUACUUAGAUGCAAUGGUGAAUUAUCUUAGAUGAUCCUAGGUAAGAAGUGGCACCAUGUGCUUACUUCAUGUGAUAAUAGAAUUUGGUGCCCUCAUUGAUACCUUUACAUGCAACCUAUUACCUCUUUGUCCUAGUAGCGGAAAACACUAUAUUCUCAUUCUAUGAUGCAAUACAAUACAAAAUACUCAAAAAGGCGAUUAUUAUGUUUCAUCCGAGGACCAGCAAAGAACAUACCUAACAUGUGAGGGAUGUUGUGAUUUCUUGAAGGACGUCUAGUUAGUAAAUAAUAAGCAGUCAACACACCAUCACCAUAGUUCAUAUCUUCUGGGGAUCAAACUUGUUAGCCUCCUUGACCCAAGUUUAACAUUCUUGAGAGUACAAUUUAACCAUGGAAGGGGUUAUUUCACCAUGCAAAAGACCUGAGGACAAGGAUAACAGGUGAUCAAAUCAAACACUGAAUACUUUGGCUGGUAAAACUAACAUGGCAAGUAUUUGAGAUUGGAAACUUGAGCCUUGAGGAUUAUGACCUACAAAAUUUUUAAGAAGAGCAGGGAAACACAAAGAAAAGAAAAGAAAAGGCCAUGUGCUGUAAGAUGGCAAGCCAAUUAAGAAUUGACACCGAUGUUAUGAGCAAAAACUUAACAAGAUUCAACUUGUUUUAGAAAAAGUAAAGCAGAAAUGAAAUUGUUGAAAAGUGCACACUUCCACAUGAUGUCCUGAGUUCCACUAACUUUGCAUUUGCAUACUUUCUGGUGUGUGCUUAGUAUCAUCAAAGCAAUGAUAAAUAGUAUAGUCAUGAUGCUCUUAACCUUAUUUUGCAUAUAACACUAGUACUUGCAUUAUUGCAGGCCCCAUACAACCUAAGGUGUGCCUUCAAGUCCGAGAUCUUAGAUGCCACAAAGCAAGCAGCGGAGCUGUUGCGCGGUUUGGCAAAAGAUUUAAACAACAUGAAGUGGAGCCUCCAAACUAGCUUACUUAAGCAUGUUCAUGUCUCGACCGAGCGUCUGCAACAUUCAAUUGACUUGCACUCCUACCUGUUCACCGCAAGUCAGGAAGACAACUAUGCCAAACCACAAUUGAAAAUCUCAAGGGUUGUGUCUUUCAAGAACCAGUCCGGUGAACCAGAAAGCAAGACAACUGAAACCAGAACACCAAUGGCGAUGGAAGUUGAAUCCUACCAUGAGAUGAUGAAAAGGCAGCAGAGGAAGCUGCAUUCAUGGCCUUCCAGGGAGGUGGAUGAUUUUGAAGAUGACGAAAAUGUUGUUUCUGAUCUCAUUCCAAGGAUGCGUGCACUUGAAAGCACCACAGCGCUGUCACUUGCAACUUUCACAUCACUACUGAUUGAAUUUGUUGCUAGGCUUGAUCAUUUGGUUGAGGCUGCUGAGAGGCUUGCUACGAUGGCAAGGUUCAAGCAGCAGAUUGCAAACUAACCAUUCAAUGGCACUAACAGAUUAAAUACUAGCAUAGUUACAGGAUACAGAACUAAGUGCAUACUAUCUACCCAAAGCAUCAAGUGAUGUAACAUUGUUGUUUGCUCUUUCUUGUACUAGAAAGGGGGAAAGUGUGUUUACAUACUGGUAUUUGCCAGUGGAGAUAUAAAAUGUAAUAGAAAUUAUACAUGUUAACCUAAUCCUGUGUGAUCUGUCUAGCAAGGGGUGUAAUUCCCAUACAUGACCAAUCUUUUUAGAACAAUCACACUAGUUUAGUUCUCUGGAGUCACUAAUGGCAUAGUGAUGGUGGCAUGGUGGUGAUUAGCAUUGUGCAUCCAACGAUCAAAGUGUCCAUAUGAUUUUUUCUCGAAAAGUUUGGUUCAGUUAAUAUCAUUCAGGAGCAUCUAUGUACAAAUUGGCUUAUUGAGCUGACUCACAAGUCAUAACCAAGUGCAAUUUUCAGUGAACUAUACACUGAACUGAACACCCUGACGCACUAUCAGUCUAUAUCAUGGAGUGAUGGAAGGCAAGGCAUAUGCUCAAAUAUAUAUUCCGUGUGCAAUCCUACCAUGACGAGGAGGGCAUUCGAUCCAACUUCCAAGACAGACCAGGUUAGCUAAACCCUUCACAUCGAAGAAACCAAAACAAACUCCUCUCAAAAAAGAAACCAAAACAAACACAACAUGCGCAGACGCAAAGAAUAACGCCAAGUCUCCACUACGUGUGACAUCCAAUCUAGACAGUCAAAAUGCCGAAAAUCUAGAACAAGAACAACUAGAGAACCCUCACGGGCAUAACGCCGAGCACCUGGUUCGCGCUCCACCACGAUGGCGGCGGAAGGAGAGCAGGAGACCUCCGAUCCCCCUCCCCCCGAGGAAACCCCACCCCCAACCACCC
rnacentral:lncRNA from 1 species